UACGUAGGUGACAAGCGUUGUCCGGAUUUACUGGGCGUAAAGAGCGCGCAGGCGGUCGUUCAAGUCGAGUGUGAAAGCCCCCGGCUCAACUGGGGAGGGUCACUCGAUACUGAUCGACUCGAAGGCAGGAGAGGGAAGUGGAAUUCCCGGUGUAGUGGUGAAAUGCGUAGAUAUCGGGAGGAACACCAGUGGCGAAGGCGACUUCCUGGCCUGUUCUUGACGCUGAGGCGCGAAAGCUAGGGUAGCAAACAGG
rnacentral:rRNA from 1 species